rnacentral:lncRNA from 1 species
AGCCACCGGAGCGGCGCGGGUUCUCAGGGAGGCAAGAUGACUUCUCUGCCCCAAGCUUGGAACAGCUAAAGGGAAAAACAGUGCAAGAUGAGAACAACAAAGGUCUACAAACUCGUCAUCCACAAGAAGGGCUUUGGGGGCAGUGGUCAGUAUCGAUUGGUCUUUAGAGGUUUUGUAAGUUGGCUGAGGUUCUGGUGUGUGCAAUACCUAGAAAUUACACACUGACUCGUGUGACAAUUGAGGCUAAACAGGCGACUAAACAGACUAAAGCAGCAACUGUCAUACAGUAACAAUAGGAGGAUGGCAGGACCCUUCUAAUGCAUUUGCAUUCAGACUUUUAAGGAACAUUGUGAAUGCUGCCGGUUUACUACCCUUCAUUUGUUGAAUUGCAUUAUUAAUUACAAAUCUUCCGUGUAUGUUCCAUAAAAUUCCAGCCUGCACUGGUUUGGCAGAUAAGAGAAACUAAAAUCGUUUAUCAGUUUUUACAUUGAGUGAGAGAGAAGUGGCAUAGAUGUGCAUAGAGCAGGUAUGAUCAAAGCAUGAACCUUUGCCUGGCUUGUAGGCAUGGGAAGAAGGAGCAGGAUACAGCAUGUUAUUCUGCACUGAGCUAUAGUCUGAGUAUCUACUCUGCUUCUAAUUUUCCUGGUGACCUUGGGCAAGCUCCUAGUGUACCUUAU